rnacentral:rRNA from 1 species
CAGCCGCCGCGGUAAUACGUAGGGUGCGAGCGUUAAUCGGAAUUACUGGGCGUAAAGCGUGCGCAGGCGGUUGUGUAAGACAGGUGUGAAAUCCCCGGGCUUAACCUGGGAACUGCGCUUGUGACUGCACAGCUAGAGUAUGGCAGAGGGGGGUGGAAUUCCACGUGUAGCAGUGAAAUGCGUAGAGAUGUGGAGGAACACCGAUGGCGAAGGCAGCCCCCUGGGCCAAUACUGACGCUCAUGCACGAAAGCGUGGGGAGCGAACAGGAUUAGAUACCCGCGUAGUCCCUGUCUCUUAUAC